rnacentral:misc_RNA from 1 species
GUCGGCCUCACAGCGAUCCUGUCCGCGUCCAGAACGCUACACUUGAGCGCCAGCCUCCCCAGCUCGUCGAGCAGGGCGACGUCUUCCUCCGCCGUUAUGACGUCCCUGUCGAACAACGCCCUCCCGGUCUCUUCCGUCUCGUACGCUCUGGUGAACCUGGCGAGGAGGCCGUCGUGGCCGCCGUCCCCGUCCCCGUCCCUGCUGACCAGCGCCAUCAGGACGCCGCCGAACCUGUACACGUCGCUCUCCAGGUUCAUCAGCACGGAGCCGUAGCGGGACGGGUCGUCGUUCAGAGCUUUCUC